rnacentral:misc_RNA from 1 species
GAUGAAGAGCGUAGCAAAAUGCGAUAAGUAAUGUGAAUUGCAGAAUUCAGUGAAUCAUCGAAUCUUUGAACGCACAUUGCGCCCGCUGGUAUUCCGGCGGGCAUGCCUGUUCGAGCGUCAUUUCAACCCUCAAGCCCCCGGGUUUGGUGUUGGGGAUCGGCUCUGCCCUUCUGGGCGGUGCCGCCCCCGAAAUACAUUGGCGGUCUCGCUGCAGCCUCCAUUGCGUAGUAGCUAACACCUCGCAACUGGAACGCGGCGCGGCCAUGCCGUAAAACCCCAACUUCUGAAUGUUGACCUCGGAUCAGGUAGGAAUACCCGCUGAACUUAAGCAUAUCAAUAAGCGGAGGA